ACCCUCCCACUGCUUACCACAGUUUGUGCCAUUCCAGCACUGACUGUAUAGAAAAGGGAGGCAUAAUAACUUUUCCUUUUACAUCCUUUAGGAGCAGGCUUUGUUCUUGUCUGCUUCUUUGGAUUUGUUGGGAGAUAGAU
ensembl:snoRNA small nucleolar RNA, H/ACA box 51